rnacentral:rRNA from 1 species
UACGUAGGGCGCAAGCGUUGUCCGGAAUUAUUGGGCGUAAAGAGCUCGUAGGCGGCCUGUUGCGUCCGCUGUGAAAUCCCGGGGCUCAACCCCGGGCGUGCAGUGGAUACGGGCUGGCUGGAGGCAGGCAGGGGAGAACGGAAUUCCUGGUGUAGCGGUGAAAUGCGCAGAUAUCAGGAGGAACACCGGUGGCGAAGGCGGUGGGCUGGGCCGGCACUGACGCUGAGGAGCGAAAGCGUGGGGAGCGAACAGG